rnacentral:rRNA from 1 species
CGGGAAUAUUGGACAAUGGGGGCAACCCUGAUCCAGCAAUACCGCGUGUGUGAAGAAGGCCUGCGGGUUGUAAAGCACUUUUAGUGGGGAAGAUAAUGACGUUACCCACAGAAAAAGCACCGGUUAACUUCGUGCCAGCAGCCGCGGUAAUACGGAGGGUGCAAGCGUUAAUCGGAAUUACUGGGCGUAAAGCGUGCGUAGGCGGCUCUUUAAGUCGGAUGUGAAAUCCCCGGGCUUAACCUGGGAAUUGCAUCCGAUACUGGGGAGCUAGAAUGUGGGAGAGGGAAGUGGAAUUUCCGGUGUAGCGGUGAAAUGUAUAGAGAUCGGAAGGAACAUCAGUGGCGAAGGCGACUUCCUGGACCAACAUUGACGCUGAGGCACGAAAGCGUGGGUAGCAAAC